rnacentral:rRNA from 1 species
GUGUCAGCCGCCGCGGUAAGACGAACCGUGCGAACGUUGUUCGGAAUCACUGGGCUUAAAGGGCGCGUAGGCGGGUUCGCAAGUCUGUGGUGAAAGCCUCCAGCUUAACUGGAGAAGUGCCGUGGAUACUGCGAAUCUUGAGGAGGGUAGGGGCGUCUGGAACGGUCGGUGGAGCGGUGAAAUGCGUUGAUAUCGACCGGAACUCCGGUGGCGAAGGCGAGGCGCUGGACCCUUUCUGACGCUGAGGCGCGAAAGCCAGGGGAGCAAACGGGAUUAGAUACCCCCGUAGUCC